AGAAAAGUAAGCUAAUUUAAGCUCGUAGGUUCAUACCCUAUUUAUGGGACUAACCCCUUUUCUA
rnacentral:tRNA from 1 species